UACGUAGGCGGCUUGAUAAGUCAGAUGUGAAAUCCCCGGGCUUAACCUGGGAACUGCAUUUGAAACUGUCUGGCUAGAGUGAGUGAGAGGUUAGUGGAAUUCAAGGCGUAGCGGUGAAAUGCGUAGAGGUCUUGAGGAACAUCAGUGGCGAAGGCGACUAACUGGCACUACACUGACGCUGAGGUACGAAAGCGUGGGGAGCGAACA
rnacentral:rRNA from 1 species